rnacentral:rRNA from 1 species
AACGAACGCUGGCGGCAGGCUUAACACAUGCAAGUCGAACGCCCCGCAAGGGGAGUGGCAGACGGGUGAGUAACGCGUGGGAAUCUACCGUACCCUACGGAACAACAGUUGGAAACGACUGCUAAUACCGUAUACGCCCUUAGGGGGAAAGAUUUAUCGGGGUAUGAUGAGCCCGCGUUGGAUUAGCUAGUUGGUGGGGUAAAGGCCUACCAAGGCGACGAUCCAUAGCUGGUCUGAGAGGAUGAUCAGCCACAUUGGGACUGGGACACGGCCCAAACUCCUACGGGAGGAAGCAGUGGGGAAUAUUGGACAAUGGGCGCAAGCCUGAUCCAGCCAUGCCGCGUGAGUGAUGAAGGUCUUAGGAUUGUAAAGCUCUUUCACCGAUGAAGAUAAUGACGGUAGUCGGAGAAGAAGCCCCGGCUAACUUCGUGCCAGCCGCCGCGGUAA